rnacentral:sRNA from 1 species
GCCAGGUGUGGUGGCUCACGCCUGUAAUCCCAGCACUUUGGGAGGCCGAGGCGGGUGGAUCACCUGAGGUCAGGAAUUUGAGACUAGCCUGGCCAACACGGUGAAACCCCGUCUCUA